rnacentral:miRNA from 1 species
AGAACGUGCUAAAAUGCAGAUUUCUGCAGCCCCACCCACACCCUUGUCUGGGAUGGAGCCCAGGAAUCUGCAUUUUUAACAAGCACCCCCAAGCAGUUCUGAGGCAGUGGG